GCCGCGUUAGCCCAACUGGUAGAGGCACUGCACUCAGAACGCAGACAGUGCGGGUUCGAAUCCCGCGCGCGGCA
rnacentral:tRNA from 1 species